UCUCAUGGUACAGCCCCUCCAGAACCUUCCAUGGGCAUAACCAUUUGUAGGAAUUUGGGCAGUUGGAUAUCCAAGUUCCUUUCCUGAUUUGGGGGACCGAUGGGAUGCAGCUCCUCACCUUGCAUCACGAGAGCUGAAGUGGGACUCCUCCACCCCAGCGUCCUAUGGGGGCCGAGGAGGGGCGUCCGACUGGACACGGCCAAUGAUACUUCCCACCCAGGAGCCACCUUGAUUCCUGUUCCUGCUAAGACAUCUUGUUUGACUCCUCCACAUCCUGUGACUACCCCCUUCCAUCAGCUUCACAAGCCUGUUCCCCCAUGAACCACCACUGGUGAUAAUGCUGACUGCCGUUUACUGAGGACCUUCAAGUGUCACACCUGAAACCAAGUGUUAUUUCAAUUAUCACAAGAACCUUAUGAGGUUCCACACUCAGCAUGGAGCCCAACACGGGGCUUGAACUCACGACACCGAGAUCAAGGCCUGAGAUGAAGAGUUGGAUGCUCAACCAACUGAGCCAGCCAGGUGCACCAUCAGCACCUUCAUCUUAGAUGAGAUAAUCAUGGAGGGUUCUCAGCAGAGUAUGGGACCCAGUGAAACCUACGAAGUAUAAAACAUGCUUCUU